rnacentral:rRNA from 1 species
GGCCCGCACAAGCGGUGGAGCAUGUGGUUUAAUUCGAUGCAACGCGAAGAACCUUACCUACUCUUGACAUCCAGAGAACUUUCCAGAGAUGGAUUGGUGCCUUCGGGAACUCUGAGACAGGUGCUGCAUGGCUGUCGUCAGCUCGUGUUGUGAAAUGUUGGGUUAAGUCCCGCAACGAGCGCAACCCUUAUCCUUUGUUGCCAGCGGUUCGGCCGGGAACUCAAAGGAGACUGCCAGUGAUAAACUGGAGGAAGGUGGGGAUGACGUCAAGUCAUCAUGGCCCUUACGAGUAGGGCUACACACGUGCUACAAUGGCAUAUACAAAGAGAAGCGACCUCGCGAGAGCAAGCGGACCUCAUAAAGUAUGUCGUAGUCCGGAUUGGAGUCUGCAACUCGACUCCAUGAAGUCGGAAUCGCUAGUAAUCGUAGAUCAGAAUGCUAUGGUGAAUACGUUCCCGGGC